GGAAUUACAGAUUAAUCUUUAAUUAAAGAUUAUAUCAUAAAAUGAAACCUCCGGGAAUACAUCCAACCAGAAUUGGCAACUAUAGUGCUAUAAGAA